rnacentral:rRNA from 1 species
GAUGAACGCUGGCGGCGUGCCUAAUACAUGCAAGUCGAACGAUGAGACCAGAAUCUUGCUUCUGUGAUGUGGCCGACGGACGGGUGAUUCACACGAGGAUGCCCUAUCUUGGCGACAUGAUAUAAGUUCGCGAACCCUGAUCCCACACCCGAUCAUCUUUUGAACCGCGUGGUUCAAAUCUGAAAGACAGAUUUGCCGUCACCUAUAGAUGCAUCCGCGCUGCAUUAGCUAUUUGCGUGAGGACACUCCUUACCUGGGCUACAAUGCAUAUCCCACCUGAUGGGAUGGUCAGCCGCACUGAGACCUGAAACGCGAGGCCACACUCCUACAAGGAUGCAUCAUGAACGAAUCUUCCGUCCUGGGAUGAAGCAUGACUGAACAACGCCUCGUGAGUGAAGAUCGUCUUCCGAGCGGAGGACUCUGUUAUUGAUGAAAAACAUAUGUAUUGGUAACUGUGCACUUCUAGACGGCGCCUAAUCAUAUGGCCACAGCUCUCGUUGUGCCAACCGCCGCGGUGAUACUUAGGUGGACUGCGUUCUCCGCACUUGUUGGGGGUAAAGCGCGCCUAAGCUGAUAUCCACGUGUGAUGUCAAGGACCACCGUUCAAUCGUGGAGUGUCAUUGUCAGCUGGAUAGCUGCACAGCACAAGAGGAAGGUGUAAUUCCCUGUGUAGCGCUGAGAUGCUCUACAUGAUGGAUGCACCUCCGUGGCGUAUGCUACUUUCUGGGUGCUACUGACGCUGAUGUGCGAAAGCGUGGGGAUCAAACAGGAUUAGAUACCCUGGUAGUCCACGCCGUAAACGAUGACUGCUAAGUGUUGGGGCGUUUCCGCCCCUUAUUGCUGCAGCUAACGCAUUAAUCACUCGCCCUGGGGAGUACGACCGCAAGGUUGAAACUCAAUGGAAUUGACGGGGACCCGCACCAACCGGUGGACCUUGUGGGUUAAUUUGGAGCAAAGCGAAAAACCCUUCCAAAUUUUGACAUCAUUGGACAACUCGCGAGGAAGAGAUAUUCCCUUCGGGGAACAAAGUGCCAGGUGGUGCAGGGUGGUCGUCAGCUCGGUUCGUGAGAUGUUGGGUAAAGUCCCGCACCGAGCGCAACCCUUAAGUUUAGUAGCCAUCAUUCAGUCGGGCACUCUAAGGAGACUGCCGGUGACAAACCGGAGGAAGGCGGGGAUGACGUCAAAUCAUCAUGCCCCUUACGACCUGGGCUACACACGUGCUACAAUGGACGGUACAAAGGGCAGCGACACCGCGAGGUCAAGCUAAUCUCAUAAAGCCGUUCUCAGUUCGGAUUGUAGUCUGCAACUCGACUCCAUGAAGUUGGAAUCGCUAGUAAUCGCAGAUCAGCAUGCUGCGGUGAAUACGUUCCCGGGCCU